rnacentral:misc_RNA from 1 species
AAGACUAUAGACCUGCGGAGUACCUGCGGAAGGAUCAUUACAAGUGACCCCGGUCUAACCACCGGGAUGUUCAUAACCCUUUGUUGUCCGACUCUGUUGCCUCCGGGGCGACCCUGCCUUCGGGCGGGGGCUCCGGGUGGACACUUCAAACUCUUGCGUAACUUUGCAGUCUGAGUAAACUUAAUUAAUAAAUUAAAACUUUCAGCAAUGGAUCUCU